AGAAAAGGAAGCAUGAUGAGAAUGGAGUUAUCAAUUACAUUCAGUGACACAAGAAAACUUAAGAGCCCCAUGGUUGAUUAGAUGUGAGUGGCAAAGAUAGCUGGCUGUGAGUGGCACAUUUUAUUUUUCUUCAGAUUUGCAGUUGAGAAUUUGAGGAUCUGUUACUUACUGUUGUCAAACUAUGUAAGAUGUCAAGAAAAGUCCCAGUUAUGGAGCAUAGAGUAAGUUCAAGGUAAAAAUACUGAAAAUGAACUUUUUUGUAUCGCAACAAAGGCUAUUAAAAACUUUGAUCAGUCAGUUAAAUGAUAUUUGGUAUUUUGGCAAUUCAUAUUUUUUAUAAAAUAUUUUCAUUGCUCGAA